UGGCGCCCAACAUGGGGCACCUGGCACAGAGGAUCCAAUGAGGGAGCCGUCCGGGGAUGUGCGCAUAAAAAGGAAACUAAGAGUUUUGUGACCAACAGUAUGCCGGAGCCUGCCAUGCUGCUCGAGUCUCAGUAAGUGGAUGGCGAUCCUUUCCCCUUUUUUUCAGGUAUGGGUCAAGCAUUAAGUGAUCACAAACUUUUUGUAGGAGGCCUAAGUAAGGCGUUAAAGACAAGAGGGAUUAAGGCCAAAGAAAAAGAUUUAUUACAAUAUUUUCAAUGUAUUCAUAAGGCUUGCCCUU
rfam:Cavia porcellus supercont2_70 genomic scaffold, whole genome shotgun sequence.